rnacentral:rRNA from 1 species
GACGAACGCUGGCGGCGUGCUUAACACAUGCAAGUCGAACGGAAAGGCCCUGCUUUUGUGGGGUGCUCGAGUGGCGAACGGGUGAGUAACACGUGAGUAACCUGCCCUUGACUUUGGGAUAACUUCAGGAAACUGGGGCUAAUACCGGAUGGAACCCCUGCCGCCAGGGGGGGGGUGGAAAAGUUUCGGCGGUUGGGGUUGGACUCGCGGCUUAUCAGCUUGUUGGUGGGGUAGUGGCUUACCAAGGCUUUGACGGGUAGCCGGCCUGAGAGGGUGACCGGCCACAUUGGGACUGAGAUACGGCCCAGACUCCUACGGGAGGCAGCAGUGGGGAAUAUUGCACAAUGGGCGGAAGCCUGAUGCAGCAACGCCGCGUGCGGGAUGACGGCCUUCGGGUUGUAAACCGCUUUCGCCUGUGACGAAGCGUGAGUGACGGUAAUGGGUAAAGAAGCACCGGCUAACUACGUG